UACGUAGGUGGCAAGCGUUGUCCGGAAUUACUGGGUGUAAAGCGCGUGUAGGCGGCAAUACAAGUCGGAUGUGAAAUCCCGCGGCUUAACCGUGGAGGUGCACCCGAGACUGUAUCGCUAGAGUCCCGGAGAGGAUGGUGGAAUACUUGGUGUAGAGGUGAAAUUCGUAGAUAUCAAGUGGAAUACCGGUGGCGAAGGCGGCCAUCUGGACGGUGACUGACGCUGAGACGCGAAAGCGUGGGUAGCAAACAGG
rnacentral:rRNA from 1 species